UUUGAGAAUUUUGAAUAUUGUUAAUAUUCAUUCGAUUUUUCUCUCAAAA
rnacentral:tRNA from 1 species